CUGGGAUUGGUUGAGCUUCUUCUAUCUUCUCAUGUCUUCUCGUUCAAAAGUGUCACCAUCUCUGGUGAGGACUCGUCAGCUGAUUUUCCUGAGGGUUAUUGUACGAUGGACAGUAGUAGGAGUGAGGGUGUUACUGCAAGAGUUCAGUCAAGACCUUCUGAGGGGAACCACCAGCAGCAGCUUCAAGCACUCCAACAUGGUCGAGUGUCUGCUACAGAAUUGGUCCAGGCAGUUCAGGAGAUGCUUUCUGCAGCAGGAAUCAGUAUGGACGUGGAAAAGCAAUCAUUACUGGAAACAACAAUCACAUUGCAAGAGCAAUUCAAGGAUUCUCAAGCGGCACUCUUACUCGAGCAGGAAAAGUCUGAAAUGGCUACGAAAGAAGCUGACACAGCUAAAGCAGCAUGGCUGUGCCGCAUCUGUCUCAACACUGAAGUUGAUGUUACUAUAGUCCCUUGUGGUCAUGUGCUUUGCCGUAGAUGCUCAUCUGCAGUUUCAAGGUGCCCAUUCUGUCGGCUUCAAGUCUCCAAGGUUAUGAGGAUGUUCCGGCCCUGAAUACGUUAUUGCUGCAACCAAACCUCCUACCGUGUACUUCAUUGGUGUUAUUCAUUUGUGUGGUAUGCUAUCAUUUGAUGCAGUUUUGAAGAGUGUUACUUGAAUUGUUCUCCCAGUUCCGAGUGGCUUUCUUCUGGAUACCGUAUUAGAGUAAACCCCCCAUUUUAUCGAGUCAGAAAAGAAAUUAUUGUAGAUGGAGCGGUAUGUAAAGCUCAAAUUUAGAGGUAAAUUAAUAGGAUAGGGUCUUCUUAUGAUCAAGUCAUGUACAAAAUUAGGCAUAUGGCAACAUUCAUAAGGGUCCCUUGUAAUCUAGUCAUGUACAGAUUUUUUUCUUGAUAAGGUCUUAUCAUGUAUGUAAAGCUAUUGUGUUUUAAAUGAUGU
rnacentral:misc_RNA from 1 species